UUUCCGUAGGUGAACCUGCGGAAGGAUCAUUAAAGUUAUAGUCCCCUGGCCCUCUGGGCUGGGGUCUUCUAUACCACCCUUUGUUUAUUACACCUUUGUUGCUUUGGCAGGCCUGCCCUCGGGCUGCUGGCUCCGGCCGGCUCGCGCCUGCCAGAGGACCUAAACUCUGUUUGUAUAUGAAGUCUGAGUACUAAAUAAUAGUUAAAACUUUCAACAACGGAUCUCUUGGUUCUG
rnacentral:misc_RNA from 1 species